rnacentral:ncRNA from 3 species
UACGGAGGGAGCUAGCGUUGUUCGGAAUUACUGGGCGUAAAGCGCGCGUAGGCGGCUUUUCAAGUCAGGGGUGAAAUCCCGGGGCUCAACCCCGGAACUGCCCUUGAAACUGGAUGGCUAGAAUACUGGAGAGGUGAGUGGAAUUCCGAGUGUAGAGGUGAAAUUCGUAGAUAUUCGGAAGAACACCAGUGGCGAAGGCGACUCACUGGACAGUUAUUGACGCUGAGGUGCGAAAGCGUGGGGAGCAAACAGG